rnacentral:rRNA from 1 species
UUAGAGUUUGAAUCCUGGCUCAUGAUUGAACGCUGGCGGCAGGCCUAACACAUGCAAGUCGAGCGGAUGAAGGGAGCUUGCUCCUGGAUUCAGCGGCGGACGGGUGAGUAAUGCCUAGGAAUCUGCCUGGUAGUGGGGGAUAACGUCCGGAAACGGGCGCUAAUACCGCAUACGUCCUGAGGGAGAAAGUGGGGGAUCUUCGGACCUCACGCUAUCAGAUGAGCCUAGGUCGGAUUAGCUAGUUGGUGGGGUAAAGGCCUACCAAGGCGACGAUCCGUAACUGGUCUGAGAGGAUGAUCAGUCACACUGGAACUGAGACACGGUCCAGACUCCUACGGGAGGCAGCAGUGGGGAAUAUUGGACAAUGGGCGAAAGCCUGAUCCAGCCAUGCCGCGUGUGUGAAGAAGGUCUUCGGAUUGUAAAGCACUUUAAGUUGGGAGGAAGGGCAGUAAGUUAAUACCUUGCUGUUUGACGU